UACGGAGGUCCCAAGCGUUGUUCGGAAUUACUGGGCGUAAAGGGAGCGCAGGCGGAUAGGUCAGUUUAAAGUGGAAUCCCAGGGCUCAACCCUGGACGUGCUUUGGAUACUGCCUGUCUUGAGUUCGUGAGAGGAAAGUGGAAUUCAGGGUGUAGCGGUGAAAUGCUUAGAUAUCCUGAGGAACACCAGUGGCGAAAGCGACUUUCUGGCACGAAACUGACGCUGAGGCUCGAAAGCAUGGGUAGCGAACGGG
rnacentral:rRNA from 1 species